CCUACGGGUGGCAGCAGUAGGGAAUAUUGCUCAAUGGGGGAAACCCUGAAGCAGCAACGCCGCGUGGAGGAUGACGGUUUUAGGAUUGUAAACUCCUUUUGUGAGAGACGAUAAUUACGGUAACUCACGAAUUAGCACCGGCUAACCACGUGCCAGCAGCCGCGGUAAUACGGAGGGUGCAAGCGUUACUCGGAAUCACUGGGCGUAAAGAGUGCGUAGGCGGGCUUGUAAGUCAGAUGUGAAAUCCUGUAGCGUAACUACAGAACUGCAUUUGAAACUAUGAGUCUAGAGUGUGGGAGAGGUAGGUGGAAUGCGUGGUGUAGGGGUGAAAUGCGUAGAUAUCAAGAGGAAUAC
rnacentral:rRNA from 1 species